UACACGCUGUGACUAGCAUAUCAAUAAGCGGAGGAAAAGAAACUAACAAGGAUUCCCUCAGUAACGGCGAGUGAAGCGGGAAGAGCUCAAAUUUGAAAUCUUGAAAGGUCUACCUUGCACGAAUUGUAGUUUAAAGAAGUGUUUUCUGUGACGAUCUGGUAUAUAAGUUCUUUGGAAUAGGACAUCACAGAGGGUGAGAAUCCCGUCUAUGAUUGCGAUUAUUUAGCUUUGUGAUACACUUUCAAAGAGUCGGAUUGUUUGGGAAUGCAGUCCCAAAACUGGGAUGGUAAAUUUCAUUCUAAGGCUAAAUAUUGGCGAGAGACCGAUAGCGAACAAGUACCGUGAGGGAAAGAUGAAAAGAACUUUGAAAAGAGAGUUAAAUAGUACGUGAAAUUGUCAAAAGGGAAGCGUUUAACACCAGUGUUGUUUUCUGAAAAUCAACCUCUGUUAGCUUUAUGCAUGUUUGUUUAGACCUAAUCAGCUAUCUUUCAUGUUCUAUUGUUUGCAGUGGUGCACUUUUCAGUUUACAGGUCAACAUCAGUUUUUUUUACCGUAAAAAAGUUAAAGAAAGGUAGCUCAUGGCUCCGGUCGUGAGUGUUAUAGUCUUUUUCCUAUGCGGUAGGAGAGACUGAGGUCUGCAGUGUAGGCUAUUUGGCUAGAUACUCAGGUGCUAUGUGAUACCAUUUCAUAAACAACUUGUUGAUUAUGUUUUGUCUAUUGCAUACUCGCUUGUACUAUCAUACCUACGCUUAGGAUGUUGAGUAGCGACAUACGCAC
rnacentral:rRNA from 1 species